rnacentral:rRNA from 1 species
ACACCAGCGCCGCGAGUGGGGACCAGUGUUAUUGGGCCUAAAGCGUCCGUAGCCGGGUCUGUAAAUCCCUUGUAAAAUUGUUCCGCUUAACGGAACAGAAUGCAGGGGAGACUGCAGACCUUGAGACCGGGAGGCGUCAGAGGUAUUCCCGGGGUAGCGGUAAAAUGUGAUAAUCCCGGGAGGACCACCUGUGGCGAAGGCGUCUGACGAGAACGGGUCUGACGGUGAGGGACGAAAGCUGGGGGAGCGAUCCGGAUUAGAUACCCCAGUAGUCC